GAGCGGGCCGGGUGACGUCACUAGGGGGUGCGCAUGCGCGUUUCAGAGCCCUCCCCUUCUUUCCCGCCCACUGACGGCUCCGCUUCGUUGGAACGGCCGCAGCCAAUCGCAGCUGUGAGGAGCCUCAUUAAGGUGAAGAGAAGCAGCAGCAGUACUCCCAGCCUGCAUUCUGGCAGCGCUGCCAGAUGGACCCCGCUCGGUGCCUCCGCCUCUCCUCACCCUAAACCUCAGCACUGUGAUUUCAGAGGAGAAAGACAACGCUGAAAGGUCCACCUUGUUCAGUAAGAAAGAGGAAGGCAUAGAUAGAUGAAGAGAAACCAGGAGGAGAAAGAGUGGAGGAAAGAGGCUGCUAAACAUGAGAGGAUGAUGUGACCUCCAGAGGGGACAUAUGACAUGUCAAAGUGAGAGGUUAAAGAAAAGGAAUGACAACAAAUCCACACUGGCAGAUGCUGCCAAUAUAAUCGUAUCCAGGAAGGAUAUGAAGAGAAACAGCUAGUGGGUGACAGAGCUGUAAGGUCCAAAGUCCUCUACACAUGGACCAGUAUUUAUCAGCAAGGCACAUGAGAACACUGGAGUCCCUACUGCUGUGAUGAGACUGCUCCUUACACCCAAGGCGGUUUGCAGAUCCUCUUUUGCAAUGUAAGACUGACCACUGCUUCACCAGCCACAGUACCUGGAGCUCUGGGGCUGCCAGUGUGACUCAACAGCCUCUCUCCUGCUUGGGACCCCAUAAGCCAGGCCCCGCUGACGUUCCUACAGACCUGCUACACAGGAGAGAGGCAGCAGUGCCUUCUAGCAGCAAAAGCAUGCAUGCCUACUGGUGGGAUUCAGUGCCUGGAUGCAGCGAAACAAUGCAUUCCGCUGAACGCAAGAAGAAAAAAACUGAUGGUUUUAGUGAAAAUAAUUGUGGCCUUGCAGAAAAGCAACCCCGAUGGCCGCACAGGCUGUGCGGAUGAUAACAGCAUGCAGUUCAUUUCCAGGAAGUAGAGGGGAAGGACAUCUUAUUAACGUUGAAAUGUGUUAUACGAACAGUUCGGAAGCGAUCGGGGCAGGAAGAGGCCCCUGUGUGGCUGCAGCCACUAAGGCAAUGGUCACAGCUGCACCUCUGCAGAUGGUAAAGAGUAACGGUCAGUCCCAGCCCACAGCCGAGGUAAUGAGAUAAUUACACCUUACACAGGGCAACGUGGAACAUACAACACUUCCUCUGACAUUCACGGCCCAACCUCUUUCUGGGGAAUUUUGGUGGGUUUUCUUUUGCUGUUGCUUUCUCUUCUUAGCAAACUGCAGCAUUCUGAGAAUGCAGUCCGGGGAAGAGAAUGCUCUGACAGCAGCCUUCCAAUACUUAUAAGCAGGAAGGAAAUCAACCAUUUACACAGGUAGAUAGCCAUAGGACAAGCGGAAAACAGUUUUAAACUAAAAGAGGGGAGAUUUCGAUUAAUUCUCAAGGGGAAAUUUCUUCAGAGAGGGUGGUGAGGUGCUGGCACAGGCUGCCCAGAGAAGCUGUGGGCGUCCCAUCCCUAGAGGUGUGCAAGGCCAGGUUGGAUGAGGCCCUGGCCAGUCUGAUGUAGUGGUUGGCAAUCCUGCCCGCGGCAGAGGCGUUGGAACUAUGUGAUCUUUGAUGUCCUUUCCAACCCAAGCCACCCUAUGAUUCAACAAGAAGAAUGCAGAAUCUCCCUUCCUAAGUGAAGCUCAUUUCCAGCUGCGGGCAGACACCCGGAUCCAGUCAGGCACCACGGGGGUGCCCUGAUUGCAGCCCCUCUUAACACCCCCCUGAAGCCGUAGAGCAGAACGGGGUGCUGCUCCCAGCGGGGCCCUCCCAGCUCCACCAUCCCAAGAACCCGCAGUCACCGCCAGGAAUCGAAUGUGAAAGUGUUUUCGAAGCGAGCGAGCCCCGUCCCCCCUCAGCCUUCCACCCUGCCCUGGAAGAGGGGGAGGCAAUGGGACUGACUGCAGGGGGUCCCCGCGCCCUGCCCG